rnacentral:tRNA from 1 species
GGAGAGAUGCGAGAGUGGUUGAAUCGGGCGGCCUCGAAAGCCGUUGAGCUGCUGGUCAGUUCCGAGGGUUCGAAUCCCUCUCUCUCCG